rnacentral:rRNA from 1 species
UACGUAGGGGGCGAGCGUUGUCCGGAAUCAUUGGGCGUAAAGCGCGUGUAGGCGGCCCGGUAAGUCCGCUGUGAAAGUCCAGGGCUCAACCCUGGGAUGCCGGUGGAUACUGUCGGGCUCGAGUCCGGAAGAGGCGAGUGGAAUUCCUGGUGUAGCGGUGAAAUGCGCAGAUAUCAGGAGGAACACCAAUGGCGAAGGCAGCUCGCUGGGCCACUACUGACGCUGAGACGCGAAAGCGUGGGGAGCAAACAGG